UGGGGAAUAUUGGACAAUGGGCGAAAGCCUGAUCCAGCCAUGCCGCGUGUGUGAAGAAGGUCUUCGGAUUGUAAAGCACUUUAAGUUGGGAGGAAGGGCAGUUACCUAAUACGUGAUUGUUUUGACGUUACCGACAGAAUAAGCACCGGCUAACUCUGUGCCAGCAGCCGCGGUAAUACAGAGGGUGCAAGCGUUAAUCGGAAUUACUGGGCGUAAAGCGCGCGUAGGUGGUUUGUUAAGUUGGAUGUGAAAUCCCCGGGCUCAACCUGGGAACUGCAUUCAAACUGACAAGCUAGAGUAUGGUAGAGGGUGGUGGAAUUUCCUGUGUAGCGGUGAAAUGCGUAGAUAUAGGAAGGAACACCAGUGGCGAAGGCGACCACCUGGACUGAUACUGACACUGAGGUGCGAAAGCGUGGGGAGCAAACAGGAUUAGAUACCCGUGUAGUCCCUGAGCGGGCUGGCAAGGCGCAU
rnacentral:rRNA from 1 species